CAAUCCCUGCGUGACUGGCGAUAGGGUUCCUGAAUGACGGCGCGUGCAUGUUUUGCUGCACGCGAUGCCGAAAAAGGCGCUGUAAAGGCCGCUGUAACAAGCGCGCGUCAUGCUGCGUCUGGCGCGGCUCGAUCAGGAACUCAAGGUGGAACGACCCACCGUGAAGCGCAGGGUGCCGUUUUGCCGUUCGCCUGGGCAGCCGAG
rnacentral:ncRNA from 2 species